rnacentral:rRNA from 1 species
UACGGAGGAUGCAAGCGUUGUCCGGAUUUAUUGGGUUUAAAGGGUGCGUAGGCUGUUUUAUAAGUCAGUGGUUAAAUUAUCUUGCUUAACAAGAGACCUGCCAUUGAUACUGUAAAACUUGAAUACUGACUAGGUAGGCGGAAUUGGUAGUGUAGCGGUGAAAUGCUUAGAUAUUACCAGGAACACCGAUAGCGAAAGCAGCUUACUGGACAGUUAUUGACGCUGAGGCACGAAAGUGCGGGUAUCAAACAGG